rnacentral:rRNA from 1 species
CCUACGGGAGGCAGCAGUGAGGACUAUUGGUCAAUGGGCGCAAGCCUGAACCAGCCAAGUCGCGUGAGGGAUGACGGUCCUAUGGAUUGUAAACCUCUUUUGUCGGGGAGCAAGGCCCGCCACGUGUGGCUGGAAGUAGAUUACCCGAAGGAAAAGCAUCGGCUAACUCCUUGCCAGCAGCCGCGGUAAUACGGAGGAUGCGAGAGUUAUCUGGUGUAAUUGGGUUUAAAGGUUGCGCAGGCGGAAGUUCAAGUCAGCGGUAAAAUUGAGAGGCUCAACCUCUUCGAGCCGUUGAAACUGGUUUUCUUGAGUGAGUGAGAAGUAUGCGGAAUGCGUGGUGUAGCGGUGAAAUGCAUAGAUAUCACGCAGAACUCCGAUUGCGAAGGCAGCAUACCGGCGCUCAACUGACGCUCAUGCACGAAAGUGUGGGUAUCGAACAGGAUUAGAUACCCCUGUAGUC